rnacentral:rRNA from 1 species
GAUGAACGCUAGCUACAGGCUUAACACAUGCAAGUCGAGGGGCAUCAGUAUUAUAGCAAUAUAAUAGCUGGCAACCGGCGCACGGGUGAGUAACACGUAUCCAACCUACCUUUUACUCGGGUAUAGCCUUUCGAAAGAAAGAUUAAUCCCCGAUAGUAUAGUUUUUCCUCAUGGUUCAACUAUUAAAGAAUUUCGGUAAGAGAUGGGGAUGCGUUCCAUUAGGCAGUUGGCGGGGUAACGGCCCACCAAACCUACGAUGGAUAGGGGUUCUGAGAGGAAGGUCCCCCACAUUGGAACUGAGACACGGUCCAAACUCCUACGGGAGGCAGCAGUGAGGAAUAUUGGUCAAUGGAUGAGAAUCUGAACCAGCCAAGUAGCGUGAAGGAUGACUGCCCUAUGGGUUGUAAACUUCUUUUAUAAGGGAAUAAAGUGAGGCACGUGUGCCUUAUUGUAUGUACCUUAGGAAUAAGCAUCGGCUAACUCCGUG